rnacentral:lncRNA from 1 species
GUUCAUUCUCACUGGGGCUGGAUCCAGAUGGAGGAACGCUGCGGCCUUCUGUUAAAGUUGCAGCCUCUGAGAGAGGAAGUGGUGAAUGGUGAGAUCAGAAUUUGGGAUAUUGAGAAAACAAUGAGGUUGGUAUUUCAUCAAAGCAGCUCUAAUAACUAUAUUAUGUGGUUAAACAUGGAGAUUUCCUGCUUAUUAACCUACCGGUGUGGGAAGUUCUAGAUAUAGCAGUUGUCCCAGAGAAUUCUUUUGUAGUAACUAAAAGUGGAAAAAGAAAGGGAUAAACAUGGCAUUACCCCCUAAAUCAGUUGUGGAAAUAGCUAUGUGGCUUUAAUCCACUGGAAGAACAUUCCUGAAAGCCUCUGUUUUGUAAGGAAAUGAACUAUAAGUGACUACCACUUCAUGUCCUGGCCUGUUGCUCCUGGGGUUCCCUUUCCAUAGAGCACACUGAAUGUUGAUGGUAACCCUAUCUCCUCCUCACCUGUUUCACUUUCAGAUGCUGAACUGUCUGGUGUGACAGAGGUGCCUUCAGGAGAAAAAAAGCAGAUGACAGAUUCAUCUUUCUGAAUUUUACUCAUCAAUUACCUCAGGCAUUUUGAUACUGAGAAUUUGAAAAUAGAACUUGUUAACUCUAAUCCUCGCAUAUGAGGACUGUAUUUAGUCCUUCCUACCUGGCCUGGAGCUCUGUGAAGUGCUGCUGGCUCCAGGUGAAACCACAGUUGUACCUAUUAAGGGGCAACAGUUGUGCCAGGAGCUACUCCAGUGGUGGCUGAAACACAAGAGGAACUGGCAUCACCACAGUGACUCCCGCUUGUGUCCUGAAGACCUGCCUCUAGAAGGAAUCUGUUUACAUCAAAGGCCAGUAGUAACUGGAUGUCAAAGGCCACUUUCUCUGGCUGCCACUCGGAUGUGUUUUCCCAUUCAUUAAUAAACUACCAAGUUGGGGCAUUAUAUCUAGCAUCCCACGACAGUGAGACAGAUAGUUUUCUCCCAUAUUUACCUAUUUCACCGCUAGGAGUAGAAGACAAAAAAUAUUUGCUUUAUAAUAAUUGUAUCUAUUUCUAAUUACAUUUUUAAUCGACACAUAAUUUUACAUAUUUCCAGCGUGAGGUUUUGAUAUAGAUGUAUACACAUUGUAAUAGUCAAGUCAUGGUCUUUAGCAUAACCAUAAUCUCUGACAUUUAUCAUAGCUUUGUGGUAAGAAAAUUUAGAAUCCUCUUGAUAUGGUUUGGCUGUGUCCCCACCCAAAUCUCAUCUUGAAAUGUAGCUCCCACAAUUCACAUGUGUCAUGGGAGGGACCCGGUGGGAGAUAGUUGAACCAUGGGAGUGGGUCUUUCCCCUGCUGUUUUUAUGACAGUGAAUAAGUCUCACAAGAUCUGAUGGUUUUAUAAAGGGGAGUUCCCCUGCACAAGCUCUCUCUUGCCUGUUGCCAUGUAAGACAUGCCUUUCGCCUUCCACCAUGAUUGUGAGGCCUCCAUAGCCUUGUGGAACUGUGAGUCCAUUAAAUCUCUUUUUCUUUAUAAACUAUGCAGUCUUGGGUAUGUCUUUAUCAGCAGCAUGAAAAUGGACUGACACAUAUCUCUUCAAGGUAUUUUCAAAUAUAUACUAUAAUAUUGCUUACUAUAG